AAACACGGACCAAGGAGUCUAACGUGCGUGCGAGUCCGAGGGGGCCUAGCAAACCCCGUAGGGCGGAGUGAAAGCGAGACUCUAGAGGCGGGAUCCCGGAAUCCUGCGGGAUCCGAGGCGCACCGCCGGCCCGCCCCGAUUCGGAGAAAUCCGAGGUGGUGGAGCCAGAGCACGGCCGUUGGUACCCGAAAGAUGGUGAACUAUGCUUGGGCAGGACGAAGCCAGAGGAAACUCUGGUGAAAGUCCGUAGCGAUUCUGACGUGCAAAUCGAUCGUCUGACCUGAGUAUAGGGGCGAAAGACUAAUCGAACCAUCUAGUAGCUGG
rnacentral:rRNA from 1 species